AGAGGGGGCAAGCGUUGUUCGGAAUUACUGGGCGUAAAGGGCGCGUAGGCGGCCUUCUAAGUCGAACGUGAAAUCCCCGGGCUCAACCCGGGAACUGCGUCCGAUACUGGAGGGCUUGAAUCCGGGAGAGGGAUGCGGAAUUCCAGGUGUAGCGGUGAAAUGCGUAGAUAUCUGGAGGAACACCGGUGGCGAAGGCGGCAUCCUGGACCGGUAUUGACGCUGAGGCGCGAAAGCCAGGGGAGCAAACGGGAUUAGAUACCCCGGUAGUCCUGGCCCUAAACGAUGAAUGCUUGGUGUGGUGGGUAUCGAUCCCUACCGUGCCGAAGCUAACGCAUUAAGCAUUCCGCCUGGGGAGUACGGUCGCAAGGCUGAA
rnacentral:rRNA from 1 species